GGGACACGUGGUAUCCUGUCUGAAUAUGGGGGGACCAUCCUCCAAGGCUAAAUACUCCUGACUGACCGAUAGUGAACCAGUACCGUGAGGGAAAGGCGAAAAGAACCCCGGCGAGGGGAGUGAAAAAGAACCUGAAACCGUGUACGUACAAGCAGUGGGAGCCUCUUAAUGGGGUGACUGCGUACCUUUUGUAUAAUGGGUCAGCGACUUAUAUUCUGUAGCAAGGUUAACCGAAUAGGGGAGCCGAAGGGAAACCGAGUCUUAACUGGGCGUUAAGUUGCAGGGUAUAGACCCGAAACCCGGUGAUCUAGCCAUGGGCAGGUUGAAGGUUGGGUAACACUAACUGGAGGACCGAACCGACUAAUGUUGAAAAAUUAGCGGAUGACUUGUGGCUGGGGGUGAAAGGCCAAUCAAACCGGGAGAUAGCUGGUUCUCCCCGAAAGCUAUUUAGGUAGCGCCUCGUGAAUUCAUCUCCGGGGGUAGAGCACUGUUUCGGCAAGGGGGUCAUCCCGACUUACCAACCCGAUGCAAACUGCGAAUACCGGAGAAUGUUAUCACGGGAGA
rnacentral:rRNA from 1 species